rnacentral:rRNA from 1 species
UUGAACGCUGGCGGCAGGCCUAACACAUGCAAGUCGAGCGCGAAAGGUUUUCGGACUGAGUAAAGCGGCGGACGGGUGAGUAACGCGUGGGAAUCUGCCCAGUAGUGGGGGACAACAGCCGGAAACGGCUGCUAAUACCGCAUACGCCCUACGGGGGAAAGGGGGGGAUCUUCGGACCUCUCGCUAUUGGAUUAGCCCGCGUCGGAUUAGCUAGUUGGUAGGGUAAAGGCCUACCAAGGCUACGAUCCGUAACUGGUCUGAGAGGAUGAUCAGACACACUGGGACUGGGACACGGUCCGGGCUCCUGCGGGAGGCAGCAGUGGGGAAUAUUGGACAGUGGGGGCAACCCUGAUCCAGCCAUGCCGCGUGUGUGAAGAAGGCCUUAGGGUUGUAAAGCACUUUCAGUGGGGAGAAAGGUUUGUCACCUAAUACGUGAUGAAAUUGAUGUUACCCACAGAAGAAGCACCGGCUAACUCCGUGCCAGCAGCAGCCGCCG